ACGGAGGCAGCAGUGGGGAAUAUUGGGCAAUGGGGGAAACCCUGACCCAGCAACGCCGCGUGAAGGAAGAAGGCCCUCGGGUUGUAAACUUCUUUUACCGGGGACGAAACAAUGACGGUACCUGGAGAAAAAGCAACGGCUAGCUACGUGCCAGCAGCCGCGGUAAUACGUAGGUUGCAAGCGUUGUCCGGAUUUACUGGGUGUAAAGGGCGUGUAGGCGGAGAAGCAAGUCAGAUGUGAAAUCCCGGGGCUUAACCCCGGAACUGCAUUUGAAACUGUUUCCCUUGAGUAUCGGAGAGGCAAGCGGAAUUCCUAGUGUAGCGGUGAAAUGCGUAGAUAUUAGGAGGAACACCAGUGGCGAAGGCGGCUUGCUGGACGACAACUGACGCUGAGGCGCGAAAGCGUGGGGAGCAAACAGGAUUAGAUACCCUGGUA
rnacentral:rRNA from 1 species